UACGGAGGGCGCAAGCGUUGUUCGGAAUCAUUGGGCGUAAAGAGCGUGUAGGCGGUUUGGUAAGUCGGGUGUGAAAGCCCGGGGCCUAACCCCGGAGGGUCAUUCGAAACUGCCAAGCUAGAGUCCCGGAGAGGGUGGCGGAAUUCCCAGUGUAGAGGUGAAAUUCGUAGAUAUUGGGAAGAACACCGGCGGCGAAGGCGGCCACCUGGACGGUGACUGACGCUGAGAAGCGAAAGCGUGGGGAGCAAACAGG
rnacentral:rRNA from 1 species